rnacentral:sRNA from 1 species
GCUGGGCACGGUGACACCUGCCUGUAAUCCCAGCAGCUCAGGAGGCUGAGGCAGGAGGAUUGAAAGUUGGAGACCAAACUGCAGGUGAGUGAGGCCAUAAAGCAACUUAGCAAGACCCUGUCUCAA